UUCAUCAAUUGCAAGCUAAAAUCGGAUCGUUCCCCACCCCUCCCUCAUCCAAUAACUUCCUUAUCCUUUCUCAAUCUUCUCUCAAACGAUCAUUACUCACACCAUUGUUGAUUUUCAAUCCGGCUCCAACCAACUCUUUUCUCAUGUCCACCGUCGCCAGAGGGUAGUGUGAUGUUUCCUUUCAGCCAGCUCCAAUACCGCAUGGUUUUGAGUGAGCUCCAUCGUCUCAGGGAUGCUUUACCCGUUCCUUGAAUGAUCGUCUUCAUCACAAGCUGCUUAGAUUCGCCGAUUGUCAUCGAUUUCUAUUCACCAUUGCAGCAACACAACCUCCACUCCGAUGCAUCAAGGUUCAUGGAUGACGGAUAUACAAGCAAUGUAUAUAGACGAAAACAUUUUUGUUUGAAAUAGCUCUAGACAAGGUAAACAUGCUUCCAUGUUAUUUCUUUCAUAUCUAAUUUAAUUAUUUGACUAAUAUUCAAACAUAUUUAUUGAUUAAAUGUGUGGAUGAAAUUUUGUUCCUAUAUAAGUUGUGUUCAUUGGGUUGAUUAGAGGGUUAAAUCAUGGAAACAAUUGUUUGCAGCUAAUUCCUUUCCAUUUAGCAAUACUAUUUGGCUGUGCAAAUCUCAAUUUUUUGCUAUUAGAUGAAACUUUGUGUGAUUGUUUUAGUGAUGUUUAAAAAAGAAAUCUCGAUAUUUGUUGUGUUAAUACCAUCUAUGUUCAUCAAUAGCAACGUGAUCCAUGUCUGUAAAAAUUAAGACUUUUUUAAGUUAGUGAAGAAAAGAAGAGGUAAAUUUUGAUUUUUUUUAAAUUUGUUUUAGUCUAUUACUUGAAAUUUCAUUUUUUAUUUUCAUACUUUGAUUCUUUGACAUUUCUUAACUUAGGUUCGUAGUUGUAAUUUAGGAAUUCUUCCAUUUGAUAGUGCUCGUGUGGGAUCUAUUAAACACCUCAUUUCCAUGAUUUUCACUGUUCGGUUCUUUAUGUAUUGAGUAAGAAAUAAACACCCAUAAUCCCAUAAAUAGCUUACGAGAUUAAGUCUUUAUCCAACUUAAUCGCAUUAAGUAUAAAAAAAAAAUAAAUAAAUAAAUAAAUUGCUAAAAUAGCAAUAUACUUUUCUCUGGUUUAUAAAUAUGAGCAACAUACUUUAGUUUUAAGUUUUAUCCUAUAAUACCAACAUACCUUUAAUUCUCCAACCAAUUUAAUCAAUACAUGUUUUUUAUGCCUUACCGAGAAUGCUGACGUUGCAUUUCUUCUAGAACUGCCACAUAAUCUUACAAAAGGCAAAUGACAUAUAAGCAUUGUGAAUGUCAGCGGUUUGAGGUUGUCUGCAGAUCGCAAUGCCUUAUGCAAAGGAAGUUAAGAUACAACUAUUAAGAUUAGUGGCGAAGCCAAGGUCAAAGUAAAAGGGUAUUCCAAUUCGGUUCCUCGCUUUCAAGUUUAAACCCAAAUUCAUUCGAAAGUUUGAGAAGUUUGUGUUGCUUAUAUAAUAAAUGUAUAGGAGUUGUAUUUCAUGUUAUGGCCAAUGUGGGACAAUUUUAGAAUUAUAAGAAACAAGUUGAUGGAAUAUAAGAUAAAAACUAAAAAUAAAAUAAAAUACACCCGUGUUAAAGCCAAGAUUCGAAAAAGAGACAUCCAAGUUAAAAGUUGAACACUUUACCACUUGUACAACUCGGUACUUGUGUUUAAUUUUCACAACAUCAUAACAUAAUCGGUAUAAAAUCUGUAUAAUACUGUAUAAACUCUUUUUAUAUUGCUACGAAAAUAAAAGAAAAGAAAUGUUAGAAAGAAGAUUCGAGCUUUCAACCUUCAGAAUAAGGCCCAAUCACCAUAACCACCUAAACCAACUACAACUUUUAUUGUUAUUUUGCUAAACAUAUGUAUAUUAAGGACCGCAACAUAAACGAAACCUUCUUAAAAAAUUUAUACUAUUGAAAAUUUUUUGAGGGGCAUCCCGGGAUACCCCGGGAUCCAAUGUAGAUCUCCCCAUGAUUAAGGUUGGAAUUAGAUCAAACAAAAUCUGGAAUCUUCAAUUUUGUUCCUAUAUUGAAACAUGGUUAGGAGAUGGAUCCUAUAAACUUUGAAAAGUAACUCAGGUUAAUUCAUACAUUUAUUAUUUGUUUGAAGGAAACUUGCAAGAAAUAAUAUAAUGGCUUUUUGGUGUGUGAUGAACCCAUUCCAGGCCAAUGCAACAUGGUGUUUAUAGUUACGAUCAAACACUUUCAAAUAUGAUAAUUAAUAGGGUAGAUUUUUCAAAGUAUAACAUCCUAAUUUAAAAAAUGAAAUGACAUAAUUGCCCCUAAUAUGAAUUAGGUGGUGUUUGGCUAAGCUUUUUAAAACAACUUACUAGGUUCCAUACCACUAUAAGUUAAAAAAAUGUUUAGAUGAAAAUAACUUAUUCCGUUGGGGAAUCUCUAAUAAGUCAUUUUUUCAUAAGUUACCAUACACUUACUUAUUAACAUAUAAGCUAAUAAGCUAAUAAGAAAAAAGUUUUUUUUUUUUUGCCAAACACCCCCUUACUCUUACUUUUUUUAUUUACAUAUCUUUGUUUUUGCAUUUCUUGGAUUUACAUCUUACAUUUAGUUUUCCUGCGAAAAAUUUUAUAUAAAUAAAUAUUCGGUCUUUGUACUCUACUUGCUGGAAUAUUGAUGUAACAUUGGGUCUUCGAGAAAAAUAUUUAGAACCUCUCUAUACCAAGAAAAUGCUAAAAAUCCAAGGUGAAUUUAAGCUUUUCAUGCUCAUCGUUGCCUUAAUAAGCAACAAAAUCGUCAUUUUUCUGACUAGGGUUUUGGAGAUCACAACAUAUGUUGUGAACCCUUUGUAGCUCAAGAAACCUCAAUCUUAACACUCAAAUACCCAAAUCAACACAAGAAAGUAGCCAUCAAGAUCUAAGAGUCGAGGUGAAGCGGACAACUGAUUGGACAAUCCUCCCAUCAUAUAUAAUACCUCAACCCACCAUUCUGAUCCAUGCGGAGCGGGGGCUCCUUACUCUCUCUCUCUCUCUCUCUCUCUCUCUCUCUAUAUAUAUAUAUAUAUAUAUAUAUAUAUAUAUAUAUAUAUAUAUAUAUAUAUAUAUAUCAACAAUCUUAAAAUGUGUAGCUAAAUUUGUAAAUUUCAAUCGGAAUGAUAUAAAAAAAUUAUUUUUGUAUUUUUGCGACAA